CGUACACUCCUACGGGAGGCAGCAGUGGGGAAUAUUGGACAAUGGGCGCAAGCCUGAUCCAGCCAUGCCGCGUGAGUGAUGAAGGCCCUAGGGUUGUAAAGCUCUUUCACCGGUGAAGAUAAUGACGGUAACCGGAGAAGAAGCCCCGGCUAACUUCGUGCCAGCAGCCGCGGUAAUACGAAGGGGGCUAGCGUUGUUCGGAUUUACUGGGCGUAAAGCGCACGUAGGCGGACUAUUAAGUCAGGGGUGAAAUCCCGGGGCUCAACCCCGGAACUGCCUUUGAUACUGGUAGUCUUGAGUUCGAGAGAGGUGAGUGGAAUUCCGGGUGUAGAGGUGAAAUUCGUAGAUAUUCGGAGGAACACCAGUGGCGAAGGCGGCUCACUGGCUCGAUACUGACGCUGAGGUGCGAAAGCGUGGGGAGCAAACAGGAUUAGAUACCCCAGUAGUCCC
rnacentral:rRNA from 1 species